AUAUAUUUGUGGAGUUGGGUAGUAUUAUAGAAAAUUGUUUUCGCUUUUGAUAUCUACGGUUAUAUUCUUUCUGGUUUCAGUAACAUAGCUGUGCUUAUCUGUUAAAAACCCAAAUGCUCAAUUUGAUCAUUUAUUCUUCAAACUUUUAAAAUAAAUUGUAAGCAUAUAUCUGUAUGUUAACCAGGAUCAUUAACGCUUUACCAUUUGCUACCAGAAGUCAGGUGAAGAGCAGACUUUAAUUUCAUACCACAAAGGAUGAUCGGUAGGACUGUUCUUGGAAGACCUGCAAUCUUAGAUCGCUUUGGUGGAUCUUUUGGUUAUUUUCCAACAUGUCCGCCGCAGGCGUCAGUUGGACUCAAUCUAAUACUUCCCGCCUGAAAUCAUUGACUCAAGCCGCGAUUGGACAGAAGCGUAGCACAGCGCCGGCUAGCAGAGGGAACUCUAAGCUAUCUUUUUAGAUUCUAAUGAGCCGACUAGUUCUUCUUCCCCUUCUCCAUUCUCUCCUCCUGUCCUCCCUUUGUCCAUGUGUGUCUGCAAUUGUAAAGCUGGUCUAUUUUUAAGAAAAAAAAAACGAUUAACUGCAUCUGUGGAUAUAUUUAUUUCAUCUGAAAAAAGAAGUGCAUAUCUAAAUAUAUAUAUGAGAGUAUAUUUCAAGAGGUUAAAAUCUAUGUUCUAUAAGUUUGUCUACUAAAUUUACAGUAUGAUCUGUGUCUUUCUGAUCUGUACGUCUGUCUUUCUUUGUGUCGAUACCUUCCGCGUGGAGACGGACUCCGGUGUGUAGCUGUGUGGUCGCCCCCCAUUAGGACUGACCCCCUCUGAGCCGUUAGCUGUUUAGCCCUCUGACCCCCAGCUAACUAGCUUUAGCAUGGAGACACUGGCCUGGGUCUGAGUGUACCGGACGGGCUGUCAUCUCAAUACUGUUACCAUUCAAUGCCAACGCCACCCAGUGAUGAACCUAGAGCAGUCCGGACGUGUUCAGCUGUGGAGAGUAGAGCCUACCCAGCGAUGAGCCAAGACCAGUCCGGACGUGUUCAGCUGUGGAGAGUAGAGCCCACCCAGCGAUGAGCCUAGACCAGUCCAGAAGUGUUCAGCUGUGGAGAGUAGAGCCUCCCAGUGAUGAACCUACACCAGCCCGGUUGGUUCAGCUGUGGAGAGUAGAGCC
ensembl:lncRNA